UACAGAGGUCUCGAGCGUUAAUCGGAAUCACUGGGCUUAAAGGGUGCGUAGGCGGUUCCGUAAGUGCCUUGUGAAAUCCCAUGGCUCAACCAUGGAAUUGCUCGGUAGACUGCGGAACUUGAGGUCGGUAGGGGUCGCUGGAACUCUAGGUGGAGCGGUGAAAUGCGUAGAUAUCUAGAGGAACGCCAAAGGUGAAGACAGGCGACUGGGCCGAUUCUGACGCUGAGGCACGAAAGCGUGGGGAGCGAACGGG
rnacentral:rRNA from 1 species